AAAAUGCUAGCUUGAUAGUGACAGGUAAGGAGAUUGUGAAGAAGUGUAGAGGUGUACCUCUGGCUGCAAAGGCUCUAGGAAGCUUAUGCGUUUCAAACAUACAGAGACUGAAUGGUUGUUCGUGAGAGACAGUGAAAUUUGGGAUCUUCCAGAAGAUGAAGAAAAUACCAUUUUGCCGGCCUUGAGAUUGAGCUACAAUCAUCUGCCUUCAUAUCUGAAGCAAUGUUUCGCUUAUUGCUCCAUAAUCCCAAAGGAUUAUCGGAUGAAGAAGGAAAAGUUAGUCCAUCUCUGGAUGGCUAAUGGUUUUUUUCCAUCUAAAAGUUAAAAGCGUAAAAUGGAGUUGGAAGACAUGGGGAAUAAAAUUUUCAAUGAGUUACUGCAAAGGUCUUUCUUCCAAGAUGUAAAAGAAGAUGGUGAUGGCAAUGCAGUGUAUUGUAAGAUGCAUGAUCUAGUCCAUGAUCUUGCAUGUUCUGUUAUGGAUAAUGAAUGUUUGGCCUUAACAA